rnacentral:rRNA from 1 species
AUUGAACGCUGGCGGCAUGCUUUACACAUGCAAGUCGAACGGCAGCGGGGGGCUUCGGCCUGCCGGCGAGUGGCGAACGGGUGAGUAAUGCAUCGGAACGUACCCAGUUGUGGGGGGAUAACUACUCGAAAGAGUAGCUAAUACCGCAUACGCCCUGAGGGGGGAAAGCGGGGGGAUCUUCGGACCUCGCGCAAUUGGAGCGGCUGAUGCCGGAUUAGCUAGUUGGUGGGGUAAAGGCCCACCAAGGCGACGAUCCGUAGCUGGUCUGAGAGGAUGAUCAGCCACACUGGGACUGAGACACGGCCCAGACUCCUACGGGAGGCAGCAGUGGGGAAUUUUGGACAAUGGGCGCAAGCCUGAUCCAGCAAUGCCGCGUGAGUGAUGAAGGCCUUAGGGUUGUAAACUGCUUUUGUAAGGGAAUAAAGUGUAGUACGCGUACUA